CAGUAUCCGUAGGACUGAGAUCUGCCCAAGAAAGAGCUCUCAAUCUUUGAAUGAGUCCUCAAAGCUGGACAAGGAGUUAACCAUUCCCGUUCCUGAUGAUAUUGAAAUGAUCUCUGCUGAAGAUCGGGAACUUGGGAGUGAUGGGUACCUUACAAGAUGUUUGGAAGGGAAGAAGGCAACAGAUAUAAGCCUUGCUGCUAUUGCAGUUGGAACCAGUAGUCGAGGGGGAUUGGGAAAGCUUUCAAUCAGGGAGAGCAGUUCUUCUCGUGGAGUUACCAACCUUGGUCUUUCCAAAAUUGCCCAUGGUUGCCCUUCUCUAAGGGUUCUUUCUCUGUGGAAUGUCUCAGCUGUUGGGGAUGAAGGUCUAUUUGAGAUAGGUAACGGAUGCCACAUGUUAGAGAAGCUCGAUCUCUGUCAGUGUCCUUUGAUUUCCGACAAGGGUUUGAUUGCUAUUGCAAAGAAUUGCCCUAAUUUGACUGCUUUAACAAUUGAGUCUUGUGCAAACAUUGGGAAUGAGAGCUUGCAAGCUAUUGGAAGUCUCUGCCCCAAACUACAAUCCAUCUCUAUCAAAGACUGCCCUCUUGUUGGGGAUCAAGGAGUUGCUGGUCUGUUAUCAUCAGCGACUUCUAUCCUUUCCAGGGUAAAGCUUCAAUCCUUGAACAUCACAGAUUUCUCUCUUGCCGUAGUUGGGCACUAUGGCAAGGCUAUCACCAGUCUUACCCUCAGUGGUCUCCAAAAUGUGAGUGAGAAAGGCUUUUGGGUCAUGGGCAAUGCCAUGGGCCUCCAGACCCUGAUCUCUUUGACAAUUACUUCCUGCCGGGGUAUAACAGAUGUGAGUCUUGAAGCCAUGGGAAAGGGUUGUCCCAAUCUAAAACAGAUGUGUCUGCGGAAGUGUUGCUUUGUAUCUGACAAUGGGCUGAUUGCCUUUGCAAAAGCUG
rnacentral:lncRNA from 1 species